rnacentral:rRNA from 1 species
UACGUAGGGUGCAAGCGUUAAUCGGAAUUACUGGGCGUAAAGCGUGCGCAGGCGGUUUUGUAAGACAGGCGUGAAAUCCCCGGGCUCAACCUGGGAAUUGCGCUUGUGACUGCAAGGCUAGAGUACGGCAGAGGGGGAUGGAAUUCCGCGUGUAGCAGUGAAAUGCGUAGAUAUGCGGAGGAACACCAAUGGCGAAGGCAAUCCCCUGGGCCUGUACUGACGCUCAUGCACGAAAGCGUGGGGAGCAAACAGG